UACGUAGGUGGCGAGCGUUGUCCGGAUUUAUUGGGUUUAAAGGGUGCGUAGGUGGUCUAUUAAGUCAGUGCUGAAAUAUCCCGGCUUAACCGGGAGGGUGGCAUUGAUACUGAUGGACUUGAGUAAAGUUGAGGUGGGCGGAAUUGACGGUGUAGCGGUGAAAUGCUUAGAUAUCGUCAAGAACACCUAUUGCGAAGGCAGCUCACUAAGCUUUAACUGACACUGAGGCACGAAAGUGUGGGGAUCAAACAGG
rnacentral:rRNA from 1 species